rfam:Lactococcus garvieae Lg2 DNA, complete genome.
GACUCAUUUUUGCGAUAAACAAGCGAAAACUAAGGCCAUACGGACAGCCAGAGUCACAGCCGA